CCAUGCCGAAUUUCUAAAAGUGUCAAAUUUUAUAUUGACAAAAUUAGGACAAAAAUAAAACAUUCAAUUCCAAAAAGAAGUAAUUGAAUGUGCAAAAAGUUCUCUUAUUAUCAAUUUCCUUGUCCUGAGUUAACUUGCCUAUUUUUUCUGUAAUUUAGUCUCGGGAGGGAAUGACUGAACCAUAAAAACAUGAUUUAACAUGACCCCAAGUGCAUCAAGGAGUUUGCGAGUAUCAUGGAUUUCUGGAAAAGUGACCCGGAAAAUGCCCAUGCUAAUUCAGUCCUAGCUGGCAUGCAAGAGUUUGUGGAUAGUCCUGCGAUAUCAAAUAAUUCGCUUGAGGACAGCUCUGAUAGUAACGAAAAUUGUGUGAAUACAUCAAAACCCAAACUUCUCUCCAAGUCAAUUUUAUUGGCUAAGAAAAGACUGCAAGCUUACAGUAUAAUUAAUUUGAAGGCAAAAGAAGCCAAAGAAACAAAACCAGUAAAUACUGUCAAUGAGACAGCCCCAAAACAUAGUGUUCGCAAGGAACAGAAAACCGUGUAUCCCGAUGAAGUAGCCAAAGCAGUCAUUCGCGACAUAGAAGUAUUAAAAAAAUCCGGCUUUGGAUUUGAGGCUAAGAUUCCAUCAGAUAUCCAGAUUCCUGAUGAUCCGGUUGUUUCACUAGCACAAGUAACUAGUGAUUCUCCCUCUGUAUCAGUAAAAUCAGAUCAGGACAAUGUAUUUCUAAAGCGAGAGAUAAAAUGUCGGAAUAUCAGAAAAAAUGUUCCUUUCCGGCCAAGAUCUGUCUCUCCACAAAUAUCACCUGAAACUGCUGAUUCUGCAUCAAUUAAAUAUCCAAAAAACUGGACAGAGUACAAGGAAAUGAACUUAAAUGUUGAGAGAGACUCAGUCCUAAAAUUGAAGGUAUUCAAGAAAUUCAAAGAUAGGAAAUUCAACUUUAAAUCUUAUUUCAACUUUGAAACCCCAUCUGUGCCAAUUGAAAAUUUUACAGUCAAAUUAAAAUCUGGAUUCACAAGAACUGUACCUUAUUCUCAUUUGAGAUGCACUGCGGCAAAGCCUCAAAUUUUAUACAGUACAAAUCAGAAGUCACAACCUGGAUACCUAACUCGACAGCAACUCUUUGCGCAAAUACCAAGGGAAAAGAUGCUUACUAUAGAGAAAUUAGGGGAAUUUUCUAGAUGUCAACCAUUUGAGAAUGCACUAACAUCUAGAAAAUGGUAUCCAAAAACCUGGAAAAACGUUGAUAGUUCUGAAGUUAAGCUGGUAGAAAAUUCAAUAGGUCUUUCUUUUCUUCAAAAUUACUCUGACGAUGAAGAUGUUGGAUUAGUGGAGAGCGAACCGCUAAAUAUUGAGCAAACUAAUCCAAAAACACCAAGCCUCGCAGAAACCUCACCAAUAUCAGCAAAACCGCCAUUAGUUUCUAAAGAUUCUGAAUCGCUGAACGAAAAUCAAACACCUUUACCUAGGAAUGUCGUUGUGAAAAAGUCGAAAUGGGAUGAUAUUGAAACGGUUGUUGUAAAUGCAUCAUCUAAUGAUAGAACUCCUCCACUCGGGGAUAAAGAGGAAGGUGAAGUUCUUUCUGAUGAAGAGGAAAAAUGUGAUAUUGCACGGGAAUAUGAGAAGACCAAGGAGGAACUAGAAAAACUAGAAGCUACUCUGAAAACAUCAACUGUUUCUCUGGAGAAUAUUAUCGUCAAAAAGUCGUCUCAAAGAAGUAGUGAUAAAAACGGAAAGAAGAAAAAACACAGAAGAGAUCAUCGAAUUGAGUCAUCUAAGCGCUCUAAAAAGAAGUCCACCAGGAAAUCGGACAGCGGAUCUUACAUGAACAGCUCCUCAGAGUCAUUGGACUCUGAAGACGAAUCGUCUAAACGUAAGAAUAAAAAGAAAAAAUCCUCUAAACGUAAACAUCAAAAAAGCAAAAGUCGAAGAAUAAAAAAGAAAAAGCUAAGGAAUAGAGCCAACCGUGAUCGAUCACAAAGUGAAGAUUUUGAUGUUGAAUCAGAUUUGGAGGAUAGGCUGCCUAAUAAGCUAAGGAGUAAAAAUAAAUUAAAGGAAAGUUUAAAAAUGCGACUUGAACAUUCUUGUGAAAUCUCAGGUGUUAAAGAUAGUGAUGCUAGUGAUCAAGAGAACUAUGACGACGACAUUAAAUUUUUUGCGGCAAGAUUCGACGCUGAAACGAAAUUAAAAGGCAAAUCUAAGAAGAAAGCUGCUCCAAUCAUAGCAUUAGAAGACCUAUCAGUACCUCACUCGAAGCUUGACGAACGCGUUUCAAAAAGAAAGUCAAUCGAGAGUGACUCUGUGGUUUCUCCAGCUGCCAAUGUAAAGAAAAAUGAGGAAACUGACAAAGAAGACGCUGUUGCAAUCAAAGUUGACUUGCUUAAAUUGAAUGAGGAUUAUUUACGGGAACAGAAGAAGAAAGAAGAAGAAAAAGUCUGUAUUCCGUCAGCGGAAAGCGCAAUUGACAGUGAAGGAAAAAUGCUACCUAAUGCAGAUUUUUCUGUAAUAGAAGAAAUACAUAUUGAUAAGGAGCAAACUGAAAAGUCUUUUAAAGAAUGUACUGCAAUUGAGAAUAACUUUGAUAGAUUAUGCCGAGAGGAGGAAUUUGUCGGCGCGUGCGUUCAGCAAGCAAGCGGAGAUCAACAAGCGACCGGAGAAAAUCAACAAGCGAACGGGGAAGAUCAACAAGCGGACGCAGGAGAGCAAUCAGUUGAUGUACCAAAUACUAAGUUGCAGAAUACUGCGACCAAACCUAAAAUUGUGGAACCUGACUGGAAUGUAUUGAAAAAUAAAAGAAAGCUCCUUAAAUCAGACGAAGGUGGAAAUUUGAAUGUAAAACCCUUAAAUAAUAGUUUUAACGAUUCGUUUAAAAGCAGCAUAGAGUUGCUUGCUCCAGCAGUGACGUUCCCAUUGUUAGAUAUAGUUAAGAAGGAAGCAGAGGAAAACGAGCUGAGCGUUCAAAAAUCUAAUUCUUGGCAGACGAUUAUAGAUUUUCAGUCAACAAAAAGUAGAUCACUUAACUUGGAAAUGCCGUUAAAUAUUAAACCUUUCCUUCGAAGAGAUAUGAAAAUAGAGAAGGACUUUUGGGAUAUAGAGGAAGCUCCGACCAGACGUUCGUAUGAGAAUAGCAAAAAAACUCACAAAAACAGGGAAUCAGAGCUGCUUGGAUCUACUGAUAAAACUGUUGUGCUUACGUCCACUACGAAGAAAGGAUCAGAUAAUACGAUCCCUGAUCCGAUUCCAAUUAAGCUAGAGAAGUCAGAUGAAGUUAUAGAUGUAGAGCUUAACAAUUCCAAUAAUUGCAUCACUUUGGAAAACGAGUACGAAGAGUUUUUGAAGGCAGUUACUUCAACGAAAAAGCCUACUGCUAGUGAAACUUUUAUGAUUGACUGUAGUUCAACCAAGUGUGUUAAACCCCGAAUACCUAUAGACGCAGACAACUUUUGCAUUGAAGAGUAUCCCGUACAAACGUCUGUAAAAAUUGGUGCAAGUCUAGAAGAUUUGUUAUUUACACCAGUUUCUGAUGCUGCACCAGCGCAGAUUCCUUUGCCACAAAUCCAACCAGUUCCGGCACCGUCUCCCAAUAUAGAAGCAGUUAUAGAUAUUCACAAAUCCCUAAUAAAUCUUAGCGUUCCGGCCAAUGUAACGCAAAACAUCACUUUAAGUUUGGCAACUAGUGCUCCCAGUAUAUCAGCACCUUCAUCAUCAUCAAGCAUUGAUACCUCGAAAUCAAACUUUCAGAUUUCUACUCCAUUGAGCCUACAUAGUCUUCCACUGCCCUUAAGUGCGACUGCCAGUAGCAGUUCUAUAGAUGCAGUAAGUGUUACUACACCAGAAAUUAUGACUUUCGAAGAUGACGAAAAUAAGUGCAAUGGUGGCGAGAAAAAAAUCGAAAAGUUAACGUUUACUGCUUUGACUUUGCCUUCGAAGAAGUUGUUAAUGGGAAAGUCGAAAUUAAAUCUCGAUGACUCUGAUAGUGAGGAUUUGAACAUGGUGGAUACAAUAAAGCGCAAGAAGCUUGAAUCUCUGAUUGAAAACAACAAAAAAGAGAUUACUAAUCAGUCGCCCGGCAAAUCGCCGGAACAGACCGCGGAGGCAGAGGUUUCAAAAUAUGUUAGCAAAGAUGACAAACCGAGACGAGAUAGUAGAGAAAAAAUAUCUCCAAAGCGACACAGAAGAGAUUCGUCGCCGAGUAUCCGCCACAAUAGAAGUUCUUCAGUUAAGAGGCGAGAUUCCAGUCCUCGAAGACGUACGUUCUCUCCUCGCAGAAAAUCACCAAAGCGACGUAGUCCUACACUAAAACGAAAGCUUUCAAGUAGGCGAAGUAUGUCACCGAAGAGAAGACGAAGGACGCCAUCUCCAAGACGCCGCCGAAGUCCAUUGCUUAAAGGGCGAAGUUCGCCAAGACGACAUAGAAGCACAACUCCCAAAAAUAGACGUGGUAGCAUAUCUAAAGAAAAUCGUCCCGUGAAACGUCCAAAGUCACCACUACCAUUUAGGGAAAUGUCUCCACCCAAGCGAAGUGUUGCCGAUUCCACAAUAAGCGACGAACAACUUCAGCAGGACAACGAUUAUUGCCACUCUGGAAAAGGCGGCAAAACUGAUUCUUAUUCCCCAAGGCGGCGAUCACUAGACGAUCGUAUCAAUGAAGUUCUCGGAAUGCCGCCUGCGGAGCGAGGGGCCCAUCAAGACCUUUCUGAUGCAUCAUACUAUAAUAAAAGCACUGAUCAGUAUCACUUUGACGAUCAGAAUCCUCAAUUUGACCAACAAUACAGCAACAUUCAGUCUCAAGUAUCGGCAGUAAACAGACGGUCGGGUAAUACUGCUGGUCGAAUGCUCCAAAGUACGUACAAGCAAGUGGGCAAUAUGUUGCAGAUUGUUCCAACUGAAAAUUUGAUUGAUAUUCCCAUGCCUUAUAAUAUGGAUCAACAGCCCUGUUUAGCAAUGGCAAAUUACCCAACUUGUUCAAAGCAAGUUCAGCCAAAUGUCCAAGCAACGCCGCAUGCGAUGAAAUCCAAAUAUUUACAAGUAGGAAACAUGUUACAAAUCGUUCCCACCGAAAUGGUUUCAUGCCAUCCCGUUGCAGAAUCUGCUAGUGAAAAAGAGAUCAAACCCGAUGUGACAAUCGAGAACGGCUGUUUCGAAAAGAUUGAGUCUGAAAAGUCGUCUGCCGAAUCAAGUAUGAUGCAGAAAGUGGCUGAGAGACGCGCAGAGAAGGAGAACAGACGACAAGAACGCGAUAGGCGUAGAAAGGAAAAAGAGCGGCGCAAAAAAGCAAAAGAAAAAGUGAGACAAGCUAGGCUCAAAGUCAAGACUGAAAAUAUGAUCAGGAGGGCUUUGGAAUUAGAAGGACAGGAUGAAAACAAUAUGGAAUUUGAGUUGGCAAGCAAGCUUGUGCAGUGGCCACCUAUUCCAAAUGUUGCUGCCUAUUGCCUGUCAAAAGAAGCUGGAAAGAGCAUCUUAAUGAACAAUAAGACUAGACAUCUCAAAGAGAAAAAGGUAAAACUGGUGCAAUUUGCUGAUGGUAUAAGGCCAGGCGAAGGCACUUCGCCUUCAGGGGGCGAAGAAUUGUCUUCACCGCCACCACCCGAUAAACAGUUACCUAAAGAGAAACGGUUCAGGAAAUUGAAAUUUGGCAAACCCAGUGCCAAGAAGAAGGUAAAGGUUAAGAUUAUCAGGAAGUUACCUUCACCGUUGGAUGAUAGCGAAUCGGAUGACAAUUUACUUCCACCCUCGCCACCUCCUGGUUCACCUCCGCCUCAUAUAUUUCCUCCGCGUAUUAAAACAAGUACAGUCAACAAUGUACCACCGCCUUUUCUGGCUUCAAUAAUGCAUACUGCUCAACAUCAACAGCUUAUGUUUGGUUGCAACAGCAGCAACAACCUCAGCAGCAAGCACAGUUCCAGUCGAAUAUGUACAGACCUCCAUUGAAUAUGCUAUUGACACAUCCUCCAAACCUCCAAGGUCAUCUUCCAUCGCAUGGAGCUGUAGUUUCUGCUGGUUUAUCACCUCAGGGUCAUUACCAUCCUGGUUUAGGUGGACCACCACCACCUCCACCACAAUCUCAUUCAUCAGGGCAUAAUCGUCACUACUAGUAGGAGAAUAGGCAAAAGUAUGAAAUAAAUGUAUUUAAUUAGCAUGAUGAUAAAACUAUAUCGUUCGGAACUGUACAAAUUAUUUGACUAAAUUAGGAUUAUUGUAUAGUACAUUGUAUUUCCGUUAUAGAUGAAUCGUGUGAUGGUCAUCACCACUAAUCUGUUACGGUGGACAAAAUUAAAUUUGACUUACUUAUUUUUUUAAUGGCAAGCAAACUUCAGCGUAUGAAUAGUACAUACUUGAGGUUUAAGCUUAAAGUGAAGCGUCACCAAAAUUUCCAUGCUGUUACUUUUGACCAUGGGAAUUGUGUUGCAUGUAUGAAUAUUUAAUGUAAUUAUGAACUCCGAUAUUUGAGAAACAAUAUUUUAUCGAUUUUGGCAUUACAUUUUUAAUGCUUUCGACUUUUUCAAAAAUCUAUGUUACGUUCUGAGUUAUAAAUAAUAAUAUUGUUUGUGUUGAUUUACGUGAAUUAUGAUGAUCACGUUACAUACAUACGUUGCUAGCCAAUAAUUUAAAAUAUGUCAAUUUAUUAGAAGUUGAGUGUAGUUUGUAACAGAUUUUACUGCCCAUGAUCAAGACAUUUUUAUAAAUCUUCCUUUAUACAUAGUGGAACGUAAAAUUCGUACACGAACAGCUAAAUAAAGUCCUAUCCUAAUUAUUUUGGAUGCGAUGAUAUUUUAAAACCCUUUGUUUAUCAUGUAAGUAGAAUUAUUGUAAUUUUGUUUUAUUUUAUUAUUUUUGAUAAUGUCGACCUUUUUUGCUGUACGAGAUGAGUUCUUCUUAUUAUAUUUUGUAGCAAAAAUAAAUCACGAUUCAUAUACAAAAGAUGAGGAUUUUAUAUUUGUUUAAACAAUA